rnacentral:rRNA from 1 species
UUUUAAACUAGGAAUAGAUACCCUAUUAUUUUUAUUAAAUUUAAAUUUAAUUAAAAUAUUAAAUGUUAAGCAUUAAAAAUAAAAAAUUUGGCGGUAUUUAAUAUUUAGAGGAACUUGUUUAUUAAAUUGAUAAUCCACGAAUGGAAGAACUUAGUAAAAUGAUUUUUAUGUAUUGUUGUUGAAAAAUUAUAUUAAUAGAUAAUUAUUGAUAAAUUUAAUAAAAUUAUAAUUCAAAUCAAAAUGUAGAAUAAUUAAGAGUUUAAUGAGUUACAAUUAAUUAGAUAUUUGGAUUUUAAAAUAAUUUAAUUUAUAAAUGAAAAUGGAUUUAAAAAGUAAAUUUGUAAAAAAUUUAUAGGUGAAAUAUGA